GAUGAACGCUGGCGGCGUGCCUAAUACAUGCAAGUCGAGCGAACAGACGAGGAGCUUGCUCCUCUGACGUUAGCGGCGGACGGGUGAGUAACACGUGGAUAACCUACCUAUAAGACUGGGAUAACUUCGGGAAACCGGAGCUAAUACCGGAUAAUAUAUUGAACCGCAUGGUUCAAUAGUGAAAGACGGUUUUGCUGUCACUUAUAGAUGGAUACGCGCCGCAUUAGCUAGUUGGUAAGGUCACGGCUUUCCAAGGGAACCAUGCGUGAGCGACGUAAGGGGGGGAUCGGCGACACUGGAGCUGAGACGCGGUCCAGACGCCUGCGGGAGGCAGCAGUAGGGAAUCUUCCGCAAUGGUCGAAAGCAUUACGGAGCGACGGCGCGUGAGUGAUGAAGGUCUUCCGAGCGUAAAGCUCUGUUAUGAGGGAAAAACAAAUGUGUAAGUAACUAUGCACGGCGUGACGGUACCUAAUCAGAAAGCCACGGCUAACUACGUG
rnacentral:rRNA from 1 species